UACAGAGGUCCCGAGCGUUGUUCGGAUUCACUGGGCGUAAAGGGUGCGUAGGUGGCGUGGUAAGUUUGAUGUGAAAGCUCAGGGCUUAACCCCUGAAAUGGCAUUGAAUACUACUGUGCUGGAGGUUUGGAGGGGGGACUGGAAUUCUUGGUGUAGCAGUGAAAUGCGUAGAUAUCAAGAGGAACACCAGUGGCGAAGGCGAGUCCCUGGACAACACCUGACACUGAGGCACGAAAGCCGGGGGAGCAAACAGG
rnacentral:rRNA from 1 species